rnacentral:misc_RNA from 1 species
AUCAUCUCUAUCCUCUUUUCACAGGUUUCGAUUCUAUUGUUCCCUUUUUUAAUUUCCAAUUGCAAACUUUAAUCCUUUUGCAUUUUAUUUAUUUUUAAUAAUUCGUCUGUAUUUGAGCAUUGGAUUAUCUAUUUAUUCUUUACUUCUACUGGCUUUCUCUUUUGCUGUUUUCAUUUCUAAUACAAUAACUUCAUUUUUUUUAAUAAUCAGAAGUCGUAUUGGGGUCAAUUUUAUGCGAAUUUUUGCUCAGUAUAAGUACCUUUUGUUUAAUAGUUUUGCUACCACAAAUUUAUCAGUUCAGAU